rnacentral:tRNA from 1 species
AGCGGGGUAGGGUAGCCAGGUUAACCCGCAGGGCUCAUAACCCUGAAAUCAGAUGUUCAAAUCAUCUCCCCGCUACCA